rnacentral:rRNA from 1 species
UAAUACGUAGGGGGCUAGCGUUGUCCGGAAUCAUUGGGCGUAAAGCGCGCGUAGGCGGCCCGAUAAGUCCGCUGUAAAAGUCAAAGGCUCAACCUUUGAAUGCCGGUGGAUACUGUCGGGCUAGAGUCCGGAAGAGGCGAGUGGAAUUCCUGGUGUAGCGGUGGAAUGCGCAGAUAUCAGGAGGAACACCAACGGCGAAGGCAGCUCGCUAGGACGGUACUGACGCUGAGGCGCGAAAGCGUGGGGAGCAAACAGGAUUAGAUACCCUGGUAGUCCACGCCGUAAACGAUGGGCACUAGGUGUGGGAGGUGUCGACUCCUCCCGUGCCGGCGCUAACGCAUUAAGUGCCCCGCCUGGGGAGUACGGCCGCAAGGCUA